rnacentral:lncRNA from 1 species
UGGCUUAUUGGAUUCUAAUUCAGGACACUACAACAGAAUUAGAUUAUAGAGACACAUGUUUGGAACACUUUUGUGUAAGUGUCUCAUUUAUGCCAACAUUUUUUAAAAAAUCUAUUAAUGCCUAAAUAUAAAGCCCAAUCAACCAAAAAUAAAAGGUUACUCUACUCAACCCACCCUACCCAGCCCAUUUGGCCCGAUUACAAACAGAAAAGAAAAAAAAUAAAGAAAAAUCGAUUACCAUCUCUCUUUCUCUCCUUACUCAAUCCACUGAAAUCCUAGAUGAAGAGCCCUUCCCUCUCGUCCUCUUCCGCACCGCAGCCAACGAGGUAAAGUUCCAUGUUUGGAACACUUUUGUGUAAGUUUCUCAUUUAUGCCAAAAUUUUUUAAAAAAUCUACUAAUACCGAAAUAUAAAGCCCAAUCAAUCAAAAAUAAAAGAUUACUCUACUCCACCCACCCUACCCAGCCCAUUUGGCUCGAUUACAAACAGAAAAGAAAAAAAUAAAGAAAAAUUGAUUACCAUCUCUCUUUCUCUCCUUACUCAAUCCACUAAAAUCCUAGAUGAAGAGCCCUUCCCUCUCGUCCUCUUCCGCACCGCAGCCAACGAGAUAAAGUUCCGACGGCUGCUAAAUGCUUAAAUAAGUGUUGGUAAUUAGUAGCACUUUUUUUAGGCUACAGCGACACUUUUUAACUGUCACUAUAUACCUAGCGACCCCACAUAUAGCAACAUUUUUUAAAAGUAUUGGUAAUUUAGCCAGCAGCAUUUUUUUUGACAUGUACCAAUAUUUAAAAGUGUCGCUAUAUACCGUUUUUGUUGUAGUGAGAUUAUCGCGUACUUUAAUUGCCGCAUUAGCGCCUAUUUGACUUACUCUUUAUAUAAGCAACAUGUCUUAAUUUGGUAAAUUGAUGAUUUUACCGUUUGAGAAGGUAAAAGUAGAAGCUGAAAUGAUAUUCUAAAGAUAAAAAUAGAAGCUUUAUUUUGAAACUUACUAAGUAAACAAUAUUAAUAAAAAUUAAAAUUUUAUUUCUAAAAACUUUAUAUACUCUAAAAUAUAUUUAACUGUGUCGAUCAUAAAUUUAAAUACUCUAAAAUCGAAAUGAGAUUAUAGUACCGGAGUUCAGGUACUAUAGAUAGUACAAUAGACUCGAUCUCUAUAUAUGUAUAUAUAUUAGUAUAUAUGUGAAUAAGUCAACUCAAAAUAAUAUUUUAUUAAACUUAUUCAUGCAUCGACAAUAAAUUAAACAUGAAAUGGGUUUCAUUUAUAACUUUCACAAAAAAAAAGUGUAUUAUUCCUCUAAAUUUAUUGUAAAAUUAAAAUACAUAAGAUAAAUUAUAAUAAAAAGCAGUUAUUAUCCAUAAAUUCUUGGGUUUACUCCAAAAUAAAAUGAAAAAAAAAAUGCUAUUUGUACAUCCAACUACUCACAUCAUGCGAAAAUAUGUGUAUACAGUAUUGGAGAUGAUGCUACCUCACAACAACUCCAAUCAUUGACCUUUCACACUAAUUAAAGCACAAACCCUAACACACCCUCUCACCCAAUUCUCUGUAAGAUCCACUUUUUCACACAGCUCUCUCUUGUUUCCUAUGGCUUCUCUAUAUUCCCUGAUAUGCUACCACCACCUCUUGCUCUUUCUCAUCGCCGCCGCCGUUGCGGCGGCGUUUACUACGCAUGCCGUCGCCGACGAUAUGACCCAUCUGCACUUCUACAUGCACGACAUCCGCAGCGGGCCCAACGCAACUGCGGUCGAGGUCGUCACAGGCCCCGUCCCCGUACCUUCCGUCCCCGGCGUCAACUUCGGUGACUUCGUCGCGAUCGACGAUCCCCUCACGGAGGGCCCAGCACUCUCGUCGAGGCUCGUCGGCCGGGCCCAGGGGUUCUACUUGUCCGCAGCACUGCAAGAGGUGUCGUUUCUCGUGUCGGCCAACUUCGUGCUGGCCGCCGACGGGCCGUAUAACGGCAGCGCGGUCUCCGUUCUGGGGAGCGACCCGAUCGCGGCGCCUGUCAGGGAGUUGUCGGUCGUCGGCGGGAGCAGGCGGUUUCGAAUGGCCUACGGAUAUGUGCUCUGGAAGACGUACUUCUUCAACGCCACCACCCUCGACGCGAUCCUGGAGCUCGACGUCUACGUCACGACGAAGUGAUGAAUUCGUCACAUCGAUCUCAUCUCGCUCGUUGAGCCCUAUUAUUGCAAUCUGAUAGUAAAGAUAGAAUCGAUGGCGGAUCGAUCACUCAGAUGAUACAAGAUUGGUUUGACUGUCCAUGUCAAAUGCCAAUUAUUUGUUCAAUCAUUAUGUCAAAAAAAUAAAAAGGCAUGGUUAUAGAUAAGCUUGUCUGUUUGUUUUUUCUUGAGUGUCUUUGUUAGAAAGCAAUAGUUAAAAACUUUUUUAAAAAAAUAAAAAUAAAAUUUGGUACUUUUUUAAAAAUAAAAGUAGAGAGAAAUGCUUUUUCCCUUUUUUUAAUUUUAAAAAGAAUAAAGGAAAUGCUUUGGUACCCACCAAGAGUUCUCUACAUGUGAGUAUCAAUUAUUGUGUUGGUUUAUGGUAUUUUCUUUUAUGUUCAUGACUUAAUAAUUAAUAAUGUUUUUUUAUAUUAUGAAAUAUUUUUUUAACAUAAAGAUAAAAUUAUUAAAAUUAGGCUAAUUUGCAUUAAAAGUUAUUAGUUUUGCACUUUAUAAAAUUAAACUAUUGUGAAAUGAAUGACACAUUAUAAAAAUAAUUUUAGCUUAUAAAGGAUAUUUGUUGUUUAGAUAAUUAAUGCUAAUUUAAAAGUGCAUAUUAUCGCUUCUCCACAUAUUAAGUAUACUUCAAAACUUUUAAUUUUUCAAAUUAAAAAUAAUAUGUAUGAUUUUUCGACUUCACCAAUAUCUUUUAUAACUUAUCAAUUCGAGUUAGCCGACGAUGAUUUGAACAUUUUAAAUAAAAUAAUAUGAAAGAUUUUUAAAAUAUUAUAUGACACGCCGUGAAAUGAAUGACUAAUUAUUAAAAUAGUUUCUGAUUAUAUCGAAUAUUGUUUAAAUAGUAAUUUUAAUUUCGAAUGUAAAAAUGCAUUAAAAUACUUUUCAAAUAAAUUUAAAAGAAGUUGGAUAUGUGUUUAAAUAAGUAAUUAGUAUUCUUUUUAAAUGUAAAUGUAAAACAUUUUUUUAAAAUAAAUUUAAAAAAUGAUAAUAAGUUGGAGAUGCGGGGUAUCGAACCCCGUACCUCUCGCAUGCAAAGCGAGCGCUCUACCGUUUGAGCUACAUCCCCAUUUUGUAAAUUUAACAAAAUUUUUGUUUAAUGAAAUUAAAAUACAAUUUACUGCACACAACUCCCUCUAAACCUAUUGAAUUACAGAAAUAUCCCUACAAAGUUCGAUUUUUCCUAAUUAUCCUUACAAAAGUUUUAGCGUUUUCAAAUAUACACCUGUUGUUAGGAUCCGUCAGAAAAAUAUAAUUAACCAUAGGUAAAAUAUUUAACCCUGGUUAGUGAAUGAGGUAAAUGGACCUUUUUACGCCACUUAUAUUAUUUGUGAUGAUAGAAAGAAAGAAGAUGACCAUUAAAAAUUUUUGAUAAGAUAUUUUUGCAUAAUUUUAACAGUUAAAGUUUUUGGAGAUAUAUUUGUGAUGGCGAAAAUGUCAUUUUAUUUAUCUUCUGUUAAAAAAUAAACAAUGUUCUAAUGGUAAUAAACAAAAGGGGCGAGUAUGAAUAUUGUUGAAUUUUUCUAGGAAAAAAUAUGAAAAAUGAAACUUUGCAGGGAUAUACUUACUAUUCGAUAUGUUUACAGGGAACUGUGUAAGUGGCAAUCUGAACCCGUACCUACGGGUUACAGGUGUGGCAAUCUCAACCCGUACCUACGGGUACCUAUGGGGUUACUCUUAAAUUUGUGGGUAUGGGUACUAAUUUUUCUUACCCAAAAAAUUUUGGAUAAAAUGAGUAGAUUCUAAUUAAAUUAUGAGCAUUUUUUUUUGGCAACCCGAUAGUGAAUACUCUUUUUAUUUUAUCCGUUCUUAGAAUUCUAAUAUAAUUUCUCCUACCGUUAUUUUUUUUUAUUUAUUAUCUGUUGUGUAUUGCGAUAUUUUAAACAAUAAGUUAAAUUUUAAUCUUUUAAAAAUAAUGUAUAUGUUAAGUGUUUGAAAAGUUUAAAUUUAGAAAAAGAAAAAAAAAGGGAAAACUUCAAAAACCCUCCUGUGGUUUCGUGCAUUCUCACUUUGCUACCCUGUGGUUUAAAACGUAUCAAUUUACCCCCCUGUGGUUUCAUUUUUAUCUUUUCGGAAGCUUUUUCGUUAAUAUUUCGUUAAAUUAUAUACAAAAAACUUCAGAUAACCAUCUAUAUUUAUCGAAUAGUCACUUUAGUAUCCUUUAAUUUUAACUUUGUCACUGAUUUUAAAAAAAAAUAAUAAUAAAAUUGAUAACAAAAAGAUAAAAACGAAACCACAGGGGGGCAAAUUGAUACGUUUUAAACCACAGGGUAGCAAAGUGAGAAUGCACGAAACCACAGGGAGGGUUUUUGAAGUUUUCCCAAAAAAAAAAAGAUUAAGUUGCUGGUAACCCGUAUAUCCGCCAAAAGCCGACCCUAGGAAUGUCAAUGGGUACGGAUACCCAAAAUUUUAUCCGAACCAGAACCCGAACGGAGCGAAUUUACCUAAUGCAAAAUGGAUAUAGUUUCGGAUAUGGAUAUCAAAAACAAAAACCAAACGGAUAUGGAUAUAGAUAUAGAUUUUGAUUGUACCCGACCCGAACCCGAACCUGACUCGAACUUGAUCCAAACCCAAAUUUAUUUUACAUUAUAUAUAAUAUGUAUAUAAAAAUUCGAUAUUAUAUUUGAAUUUGUAUUUUAAAAAUUUAAAUUUAAUAUAAUAUAUUUGAAAUAUUGAAAAGAGAAAUAAUUGUUUUGGGUUCGGAUUUUCGGGUUCGGGUUCGGGUUCGGGUUCGGGUUUCGGGUUUUUGGCCGGGUUCGGAUUUGGAUAUGGAUUUUUAAAAUCCGUCGAGUUCGGGUUCGGGUUUUGGGUUUAGAGUCGGGUUUUUGAAAAUCCGCCCCGAAUCUGACCCGUUGACAUCCCUAGCUGACCCGGGAGCAGGAAUAGAUAAUAAUGAUGGCUACCAAAAAAUUUAUGAGUAAAUUCUACCAACAUUCACAUAAUCCGAGGGUACAAUGACCUUUCUGCGGAUUGUUUAAUUUGUCCGUUUGCCAGGUCUACUUACAAAUGAUCGGAAAUAGUUAAUAUCUCUACUCACGUGCAUACCGUAGGGGCGGUGAAAUUGGAUCCGAGCCUAAACGAGGUCCGACCCAAUGGGCUAUGUAUGAGCCGGACUUUAUGUAUUUGAAAAUUUUAAUUUUGGGUUCGGGCUAGACUUUAAAAAUUUAGAUCCAAAAAUGUUUUGGAGUUAUUUGAACAUGUGAAACAACCGUUGUACUCUAAAAACUUAAGCUAUUAGAGAACAGUGUUUAAACAUUUUCAUAUUUAACACUUCCCCUCACGUCUGGGCUCGAGACUUUUUAAUCGGCCCAUGACGUGGGCUUGAAUUAAAUGGGAGGAAAUUAAUAUGCUAGGAGCCUGACGUGACUCGAACUCAGGACCUCCUGCUCUGAUACCAUAUGAAACAACCGUUGUACUCUAAAAGCUUAAGCUAUUAGAGAACAGUGUUUAAACAUUUUUAUAUUUAACAGAACAUGUUCAAGCCCAACCGAGACUCAGCCCAAGAGCCUGAUAUAUUAGUUAUUAUUUCGGACUAACAAGAUAUUUAGUUAUAGACAUUUACCUAUAUAAUGAAUUAAGGAGACAAUACAAUAUAUCAUACAGAGUUGUGCUGGAAUACUAUUAAUAGUAUUUGAGCCUUUUACGACUAAGUUUAUAAUCCUUAGAUGAAAAAUUAUAUAAUUAAGAUAAUUAAGAUGAUAGUGGUCUCCUGAGAUUUAAUGGUGGCUUUCCUAGGGUUUAGUUGGCGGUUGGUAAAAUAGCAUGAUCUAAGUAAUGAAUUGAUUAUGGGUAGAUCUAAUGGUGGAAAGCUGGAUAGCAUCAAGCGCUUGACAUUAUUAAUAGUAUUCCAGCCGGACUCAUAUUAUAUAUAGUAUUAUUUUAAAGCUUUUGAUUAAUUAGACUUUUCUUGUUCCUUGGAGUAAACUAAUUUUUUUUAUGGGAUCAAAUUCUAGAUAGUUUUAUUUCACUUUGAUAUAAUAUAUGGCCUAAACAAAGCCAAAUGGAUAUUGGGCUAGGUUUGGUUCCGGUUUUAAUUCUCUGAAAAACCUGAGGAGGAAUUAGGUAUCUCAAUUUUUCUUCUAUUUAAGUUUUUCUCUAAUUUCUCUUCUUUCUCUCAUCUUAACCACCCCUGCAUCAAAAUUGAUGAAUAAUUAGGAAGCCAAGAACAUAAGGACUGCAAUGCUGCUAAUAGCACAGUAGCCUUACUAUACAUAUAUUAUAUAGAGUUGAGCUGGAAUACUAUCGGUAGCAAAUCGGCUCCGUUGCCACCCAUUUGUUUUCGAUGAUGGAGCCUUCGAAUCGACGAUCGGCACCGUUGAAUAUGAUCUAUACUACUUAAAUUAUCUAGAAAUUAAAUUUCAUGCUUUUCCAAUAUUAUUCUCUUAUCCAUCAAGUGGCGUAAAAAUGAACGACUGAAAAUGAAUAUCUUCUAAAAAGUGAUGAUAGAAAUUUUAUAAUCAAGAUCGAGAGUAUAGAUCUUGUUCUAGAUAGUUUAAAGAAUUUUCUGAUCAAAAUUCAAUUGAUUUGGAUAGCUUUAUACCGUUAAACGUGAAAACACCUCAUAUCUACCAUUAAAAUUACAAAUUUUGAAACCCUUUGAUCAUUAGGUUAAUGAUAUAGAAAAGAUUUGAAAUUUGGUUUCUAAAUACUUCAAGUGGUACAGAUCAUGUUCAACGGUACCGAUCGUCAAUUCGAAUGCUCGCUCCAUCAUCGAAAAGAAAUGGGUGGCAACAGAGCCAGUUUGCUAUCGAUAGUAUUCCAGCUCAACUCAUAUUAUAUAUAUAUAUGAAGUAUUUUAAUGAAAUAUUAGAGGUAAGGUAUAUUUGUAUUUAACACAUAUGUCAAUGACAUUUAUUCAAACACAAACAAAUAAAGCACAACAAAUUCAUACAAAGUAAUGUGUCAUCUUAAUCAUUUGUUAGCGGUGACAUACACGUCCAAUUCUAAGAUAGAAUCUCCAGUGGUGGCGUUGAAGGAGUAGGUCUUGAUGAGCACGUAGCCGUGCGCGAACCGAAACUUGCGGCUGCCGCCGACCACCGACAGCUCCUUCUCCGGCUGAUCGUCAGCGUAGCUGCCGUACACGGCGAUGGUGCUCCCGUUGUGCGGCCCGUUUGCCGCGAAACCAAGGUUCGCCGACACGAGCACUCCAGAACCCUGCGUGUACGAAUGUACAUAUGUUCACAUACGAUGAUACGGAGGAUAACUUAUUCGGCAUAAAAAGUUUUUAGUGUGAAAAGUUUGACUUGAUCUGUUCCUUAAAAAGUCUAAAUAUUCAUAAUUUCGUAGGAUAACAUAUUUUACCUGCGAAAUAAUUUUUCUUAUUUCAAAAAAAUUAUUUGAAGAUAAAAUAUCAUAUCAAAUUCUAAACUCUUCACACUAAAAAUUAUUUGAUCACUGAUCAGCCCCGUUUGGAUGCAUGAAUAUAUUAUUUGUAAAUUUCUUGAUUUAUAUACUGAAGAAAUUUGCAUAUUUUAUUAAUACAAAGUGUGACUAAUCGUUUAGAAUGAAAUAUUAUAUUUAGACUUUAAUUAAGUUAAGUUUUCAUAAUAAGAUAAAUCACAUCGUCAGUGAAGUAUACUAUUCUAUCAAAUCAUGAAUAAAAUAAUUUAAAAAAAUAAAAAAAAUCAAACUAUUUACUUACAAUCAUACUAGAUAAUCCACAUACAGAAUAAGUUGCCAUUGGAUAACUUAUUAUGAUACCGAAAUAGAGCCUUAAUACUCAAAUUUACAAGUUUUUAAAUAAAUUAAAAAGAUAUAUAGAGUAAGAUAUUCUUAUAUCCAAAUAAAGCAUAUAUAAGAGUGCAUUUGGUAAUGGGUUAUAAAUACUUUUAUUGUUGGAAUAAUCACGUUUGAUUAUUUUCUUAAGAAUAAUAAAGAAUAGUAGAGAAAAAAAAAGGGUUAAUUUCAUAUAUAUAUNNNNNNNNNAUAUAGGUCCCUACAAAUAUAGUGAAUAGCAAAUAUAUUGCUACAAAGUUCAACUUUUAUAUAUUAUUCUUACAAAAGUUUCAAUAUUUUCAAAUAUGUUCCUCUGGUUUGUUAUACCGUUAGAGAACCGUUAGAGAAUUGUUUAUAUUUUUAAUUUUACAAUCACAAAUAUAUCCCUCCAAAAGCCAUAAUAGUAUAAUAUAAAAGGAUAAAAAGGUCAAAAAACUAAACAUGGUUAAGUAUUUAACCUAUGAUUAACUAAAUUUUUCUAAUAAAUUCUAACGGCAGGAAUAUAUUUGAAAAUAUUAGAACUUUUGCAAUGACAGCAUAUGAAAGAUGAACUUUAUAGGAAUAUGUUUAUCAUUCACUAUAUUAAUUUGCAGUGACUUGUAUGAAAUUAACUAAAAAAAAAAGUAUAACUAGAUCGACAAGGCGAAGGGGUGGGGGGAAAUGUUAUUAACACUUUGACCAGAAUAAAUUGUUCCUUUCAAAUUUAGGCUUACUUAACGCUAUUAGAUAAAAGGGAGUUAGGGUUAAAUCAUAUAGGGAUAUACUUCUGCAUUUUCCGGUGGAACCGUACAAAAUAUAUUACAACCGAUUCAUCGCGAUAUGCGGAAUACAAUAUUACGUACGGAAACAAACGAAGCAUUUUCUUGUCGUGCAAUCGAUCCGCAAGUAACGCAAUCUCUCCGUAAUUCCAAACGAAGCUAUAGCUGUAUAUGAAAUAAAAUGCUUUAUCUCUUGGUUAUUGUGUUACGAAACGCACUCCCUGUAUACCUCGAUACUAUCCAGCAGGUAGAACCCCUGGGCCCGACCGACGAGCAUGGACGUCGGGGCGGGGCCGUCGGUCAGGGGGUCGUCGAUCACGUAGAGGUCGCCGAAGUUGGAGUCCGCCAGGGCGGCGGGGCCCUCGACCACCCGCACAGUGGUCACGUUCGGCCCGCCGAGGGUGGCGUGCAUGUAGAAAUGCAGGCGGGUCAUGUCGGCAUCGGCGGCGACGGCGGCGGUUGAAGCUAAUGCCGUUACAACGGCCGUUACGGCGAGGAGGAAAAAGAUAGAGCGGUGGAAAGAAGCCAUAGAGAUCUAGAGAGAGAGAGAGAGAAAAAACCGUUAGAGAGAUCUAGAGAGAGAGGGGGGGUGAGUGCCCAGGGUAUGCCACCGGUGCUUUAAUAGUCGUGCGAGGUCACCGCUGUGUUUUUUCUUAGGUAAACUUUAAAUACCGUCGCACUUUUUCUAUUUAAUACUUUAUAAUUUAAAAUAUAUCAAGUUAGUGUUCUAUACUUUUAUUUUUAUUUUUUCGUUAGCUUUUCCGUUAAUAUUUCGUUAAAUUAUAUACAAAAAACUCCAGAUAUCCCAUCUACAUUUAUCGAAUAUUCACUUUAAUACUCUUUAGUUUUAAAUCGGUCACUGAUUUAACAAAAAAAAUUAAUGCAAUCGAUAAUAAAAAGAUAAAAACAAAACCACAGAACACUAAAUAGAUACACUUUAAACCACAUAGUACUAAAGUGAGAAAAUAUAAAACUACAAGGGUGGUAUUUGAAGUUUUCCCUUUGUUUUCCUUAAGGUGGUCAAUGGCUGUGUUUUCAAGGGGAAACUGCAUGCCAUUGCCAUUAAUUUAGGCAACGAUUGGAUAAGGAUUAAACAUUUAACAAUGAUGGAUACUGCAAUAUACACGUCAUUACAGCCUAAUUAUUUUUAUAUUUUUAAUUGAAUUUUAUUUUUUUAAAGGUUAAUUUCAUACAGAUCCCUAUAAAUAUAGUAAAUUACAAAUAUAUGUUCUUACAAAGUUUAACUUUCAUAUGUUGUUCCUUAAAAAAUCCUGAUGUUUUCAAAUAUAUCUCUGCCGUUAGAAUCUGAUAGAAAAUUUUAAUUAAUCAUAGGUUAAAUACUUAACCUUGAUUAGUUUUGAUAUUUUUACUUUUUUAUAUUAUAUUGUUACGUCUUUUGGAGAGAUAUAUUUGUGAUAGCAAAAUUGAAACAGAGAUAUAUAUUUGAAAAUAUGAGGACUUUUGCAAGAAUAAUAUAUAAAAGUUGAAUUUUAUAAAAGUAUAUUUGUCAUUCACUAUGUUUGCAGAAACCGGUACGAAAAUAACUUUUUUAAAAAAAAUAGUGGCGAUUGCUAUGGGUAGCCUAAAAUGUACCCAAACGUGCACCCUAAACUCCCCAAAUUGUGUUCAAGCCUUGUGAGCAAUUAGCAAGUGGAGCAAUCAAGGGUAUAGAGCAAGAUUUUUUUUUUUUUUUGGGGGAUAAAUUUCAAAUUGUCCAUUUAAAUUUUGCCAUAUAAUUGUUUAAGAUUACAAAGUGAAAUUAAGUUAAACCAAAUGAGACAAUUUGAAGUUCACCUUUUUUUCUUUUCUUUUUUUUUUUGCAUGUGUUUUUACCAAAGUCAACUUUUUCAAUGAUGUGUUUAAUUGUUGUCCGGUCAAUUUUGUUUAAUUUGGUCAAAUCCCAAAUUUUAGAAUAACUCAAUUCCGCGUGCAUUUGACUUGGCAAUGUAAGUUUAAAAUAUUCAAAAAUAUUAAAAAAAUAACUUUACUUUCUAAAAUUCGUAUUAAAAUAUACUUAAUAAAAAUAAAGAUAAAACUAAUACAUGACAGAGCGUUGGGAAGUUCUCUAUUGAAAUUUUAUUUGGGAAUAUUCCAGCUUAUUCUCCAAACCCCCGUGAAAUGAUAAGAACAUUUUUUUUUUUUCCCUCUUCCCUUAUUUUAAAUGAAUUCCUUUAGAUACAGCACAAAUUUGUUCCACCACCUCCUAUAAAACUAUUUUGUUACAGGUUUUAUUCUGGGGAGAAAUUUAAGACUUUUUAAAUAAUUAACACUACAAAAUCCAUAACUUAUUAUAAUACACAUAAAAAAUAUAUAAGGAAGAAACAUACAAGGCAGAACUUAACUGAACUAUGGCCUAUUUGAUUAAUUUGGCUAUCCAAUAUUUUGAAAUCUUAAUUUUACGGUUAGUCUUUAAAUUUCUUUGAUUUGAAUCAGUCAACAGCAACAGCAUCUCUUCAAAAUUUAAGCCAAUUACUUAGUUUAAUUUUAAAUGAUGAAUUCUAAUUUCAAAGUCAAAGUCGGUUGACUGAUACAAACCGAACAAAUUGAAAGGUUGAUAGUAAAAUUAAAAUUUUAAAAUGUUGGAUAUCCAAAUUAAAAUUAUCUAUAGUUUAAAUAAAUUUCAUAUGUUUUUUAUUAAGAUAUAAUUAUAUUAUGAAUUGAGCUGCUAUACUAUAAAUAGUAAAGAAAUAGUGUUUAUUUUAGGAGCAAUUGUUUAUAUACCUCUGAAAAAUUUCUGACUUUUCGAUUUACCAUCUUAGAAGGCUAAUAUUGAAUAUACCCUUUCUACGUUCCAAUCUAUUUCUAAUAUACCCCUAGAGUUAAAAUUUGUUAAUUAACUCUGUUAUCCCUAUAAAAUUACAAUGUUGCCCUUUCAAAUAUACUCUUUCACCAUCACCAACUUUCUUAUUUGCCCUUAAAGUCAGGAACACAAAAAGUAUUUUGAUUUUUGGUAUUUUUCAAUAUACCUCUCUACCGUCACCAACAUUUCUUAUUUGCCCUUAAGUUAAGGGCAAAAUUGGUAUUUUAAUUUUUUUUAACUGUAGUAGAUAUUUGACUCACAUUUAACCCAAGUUAACUUAAUAGGAGAUAACUGCGAAAAUAUUUUGCAAUAACGGUAAAACAUAUGAUGGGUAUUUUAGAAAGAAAAAAAAAGUAUGGAUAAAUCAGAUAUUUUUAAACGUAUGAGGGGUAUAUAGACAAUUAUCCCUUUAUUUUACUAUGUAACAUUAUGAAUUGAGCUACGUAAAGAAGUUAUCCGAACUGUACUACCUAACUUUCAAAUUUUUGAUCUAACUAUCGAAUCUUUUAAUUUAUUUGAUUUGAGUCAGUUAAUGACAUUUUGAUUUCAGAAUCUGAAUGCAUCAUUAAUUUAUCUUUAUAAAUUUAGUUAGUAUAUUUUAUACAAUUUUCGUAAGUAUAAAUUUAUUAAAGUAAAGAGCAGUUUGGUUCAAAGUUAGUAACACUUACAAAAUAUUGUACAUUUUAUAUUAGGAAUGGUAAGUAUACUACUAACUUAUCAAUCCGCUUCGGUGAGAGAUUCUUAAGACGUAGUAUAAAAGAGUUAGUGUUUUCGACUUUUUAGCUCUUGGAUUAACUCCCUUGAUCACUUGUAAUUUUUGGAUUAAUAUUAUUACCCUGUAGGGACCACUCAACCCUAGAGGAGACAAGUAUCAUUCCAGCCGUACAAUUUUUGAUUUAAGGGUCAGAAAAUCGGAAACAUGAACUCCAUAAUAUUUCGGAAAGUAUAGUAACUCUACACCUACUAAUAAUUCACAUAAUAAAAAUAUCUCCUAACUUAUGAUAAUUUAAUAUUUUAAAAUCUACAAUGAUUCCACUCCUUCACUACCGCCAUUGCCCACGGGUUAUCAUGCAACACUCUUUGGUUCACGGAUGACGUGGUGAACCGGGUAUAAUUAAUAACUUCUACGUGAAAAAUUGGUGGGGAUCUUCAUUUACUUUCGUCAACCGUUUCUGUGGUUUUAAAAUUCAUACUAUUUACGUAAUGAACGAUGGAUAAGAUGGUCUCACGCUCGCUUCUGACCCUGCAAAGAACUUCGAUCCCCGAACGAGCGGCCUCGCUCAAUUUCUUCGUCAAAUCCCCAUUAAUUUCAUAUCUCGUAACUUAUGAUAAUUUAGUAUUUUUACGACUUAGUAAUCUAUAAUAAUUUCGCUGCUUCAUUAACGGGAUUUGCCCAUGUUAUCAUACCUCAUUCUUUGGUUCACGGAUGACGUGGUAAACCCGGUAUAAUUAAUAAUUUCUACGCGAAAAGUUGGUGGGGAUCUUCAUCUCCGUGAGACUUUUCGUCCACCGUUGUUGUGGCUUUAUGAUUCGUGCAAGUUACGUGAUGAACGGUGGAUAAGAUGGUCUCACGCUCCACUCCGACCCCGCAAGGUAAUGGGACCCCGUGCUCGAACUUCGAUCCCCAAACGAGGGGUUUCGCUCAAUUCCCCCUCCCCCCACCCCCCCNCCCCCCCCCCGGCCCCCCCCGCGCUCAAUUUCUCCACCAAAUCCCCGUUAAUUUCUCCUACAAUUACAUGUAAAAUCCCCCAAAUCGACCAUUCGCAGGUGAUUAAUCCGUAUUUUUCAUGUAAUUUCGUUAGCUCUCGCAUCCCUUCUCCAUUUUCCCAUCGAUUUCGCCUACAAUUCCAUGUAAAAAUCCCCAAAAUCCACCGUUUUUUUGGUGAUUAAUUCUCAUUUUGAUGUAAUUAUUGUUCUUUUUUGGUGCCGCAGUGUGAAAAAACCUAAUAUUUCUGUAGAUGUUGUUAGAUCCUUGUAAAUCCCCAUCCGAGCAUGCUAAAAUUUUAGUUUUUUACUUGUUUUCUACUUAUUUUAAUCUUUUUUUUUGUUUUGAUGCAGAUAAUAAUCUGGGUCAGAUCCUUGUAAAUCUCGAUCUGGGUAUGCUUAAAUUUUGCUCUUUAUUUUUAAAAUAUUUUUUAGGAGGAAUUAAAGUGUAAAUGUUCUCAAAAUCUCAUCAUGGUUUACCUUCUAGUGUAAUAAUUGUUGCAUUAUUGUUUUAACUUGCAUUAUCUAUCACUUAUCUGAUUAUCGAAAUUGCUAAUUUCAGAGUUUAUCCGGGGAUGUGUGAUAAGUUCAUCAAUUAACUGUUGAUAUAGAUGAAGAGAUUUGAUAAUUUUGUUGUGUGGCCAUGUGUUGAUCUCUAAAAAAAGUGUGAAUCAAUGCCAUGAGCACCCCCAAAUCCUUCCAUGCUUACCCUAGAUUUGACUUCGACCUAGAGUCCGGAUUGCCCCGGAAGGCCCGGAAAUCGAGCUCCCUUAAAAUGCUCAAGUCCUUCGGAAACCGAUUCCACCAUUUUUACAAGAUGCACCCGCUUUUAGUUUCGCUAAUCUCAUUGUCCUUGGGGCUCACCAUUCUAAUCGGGCUCUCAUUAUACGAAAGCCGGUUUAAAACGAUGGGUUACCGAAGGGGCGACGAGGUGGAUUUGCGUUCUGGUUCUUAUCCUUUUAAGAAUUUGCGUAAUCUUGUGAUGGUGGCGGGGCACGCGAUCUAUACGAGCAACAGUUGUGGGAAGAUGGAAAGCGAGGAUUCGUGGUUCUUGGAGCCGUAUCAAAAGCACACGGGCCAAGCCGCGACUUUUGUCUCACAUAUUAGAGAUGGCGUGGAGAUCGCGGCUAAGGAUGAGGGUGCUCUCUUAUUGUUUAGCGGCGGGGAAACCCGAAAGGAUGCGGGGCCUAGAAGUGAGGCACAAAGUUAUUGGGCCGUUGCGGAAUCAAAAAGCUGGUUCGGUAAGCUACUCUCUAAGAAGAAGUAAUCUUAUUGUGCAUUACUUAUUUAAAUGCAGAAAAAAAAAACGCUGUAGGGCAAUUAUCCACUGCCGAAUCAUUAAACCUUUAUACCAAUUUACUUCUAAUAGAUGCAAUGAUAUUUUGUUUUUGGCAGUACACUUAAUGUAAUAGAUGCAUAAUUUCCCUAUUUUCGCUUGUGCUGGACGCAUAACUUCUCGAUCAAACGUAAUUCCAAGUUUUGAAAAGGUAUCGGAUCAUUAAAUGUAAUUUUGGACACAUAACUUGGCUUCUUACAACGAUGUCCUAGAAUAUUGCUCGGAAAUUCCAACUUUAAAAGCAAUACCAACUUUUAGAUAUAUUUUUUUUAAGACAUAAAAUGAUGGCUUUUCAUAAAUAUCUGAAUUCUUUAUCUGUGUGUGGGUGUGUGUAAGUACAGGCACAACUGCUUUAUGCUUGUCAAAUUCGAGAAACUAUUAAGUGUGACCACUUAUCUCAAAUUGCUUCCGACAAACUUUAUGCAGCACAAUUCUUUGGCAUUUAUUUCUCCUAUCAAAGUACAUUAAGAUCAUCUGUUGUAGUAGGGGGAAAAAAUUUCAACAAAUUGGCAUUUCGUGUAGUUCAUAACUUAGGAAAGGCCAAAAAUUUCUGUUGUCCAGAUUUUAGUCAGAUAAACUUGGAGAAUAAUCAAGUCUCAAAUUAUGUGCAUAAAAUUGUUUGUCUAUUGUUUGUCAAUAUUUGUGCUGAGCUGUUGCAGUCGUUUGUCUCUAACCAGGCAACGAAGAUAGUGUAAAGAGCAGAGCACUCACAGAGGAGCACGCCAGAGAUAGCUUCGAGAACCUUCUUUUUAGUGUUUGCCGGUUUCGAGAACUCACUGGCUCGUACCCGCAGAAUAUAACCGUAAGUUUCCUUUUCUUUUCCUCUCAUAUUUCUUUUAAAAGCAAAAUGUUCAAAUGAUGCUGUUUUUCAUUAUAAUAUGCUGCACGAGAUUGAAUCCAUCAUUGUCAACUAUCGUAGAGCAAAAAGGUUUUGAGUUGAGAGUGAGAUUUAUUUGUUAGCAUCAUAUCAAAUGGUCUAAGAUUUGUUGAAACAAUAAAUUUCAUGAACCUUAUUAUUUCAAAUUGAUAACAAUUAGUUAUUUUUAUCGUAUAAUUGAAUCUAAUGGUAUCUAACCAGUUCCUUUUCUUGGUUGACUGCAUGUGGGCUUUGGAAAUAAGAAAAGCACUUAAGAACAUAACAGCAACAUUCUCUAUUUGUUUUAUUGAAAAAUUUAGAUCAACUUUCAAAUUUGGUUGAUUAAACAAUUCUUAGAGUUAUCACUAGUGAAUGAAUUUUGACAAGGAACAUAUUGUAAGUAUGAAUUAAUAGCAUGAUUUUUUGAGCAAUUCAAAAAUGUUAUGCUUUUAAUUUUCCAAGGACUUAGUUAUCCGCUAUUUAACUUUUUUACUUUGAAACUUGAACCCUGCUGAAUUUAGAAGCUUGCAGUUUUUUUUUCCCCUUGAAUCUUCCCAGUUUUUGCUAAAUACCGAACAUUUCAACCCUGCUGAAUCUUUCCGACUAUGUCAUCACUGAACAUGGUCGAUUCAAUCUUUUAUUUCUCAGGUCGUAAGCUAUGAUUUCAAGGAGGAGAGGUUCGCCCAUCUACACCGUUCCGCCCUCAAUUUGCCGCAAUCAAGGUUCUUCUUCGUCGGCACACCAGCCACUCCGACCGCAAAAGAGGCAGCAAUGAAAGGCGAAGCCUCAGUUAGGGCGCAAUUUCUCGAAGACCCUUAUGGGUGCUUGGGCUCUCUCCACCAAAAGAGGCUUAAGAGAGACCCAUUUCAUCGCACCGUGCCUUACCCUAAUGGGUGCCCCGAGCUCAAAGGCUUGUUCAGCUAUUGCGGGCCGGUCCCUUACCCCGGCUCGCUCCCGUGGACCCAGUAAGAUUCAAACUAGUGUUUGAGCUCAGCUUGUUUGUUUCCACUUCUUAGGUUCAGUACAAAUGGAGGAGCAGGUUAUAUAGCAUGAAAAAUCUUUUGCGAAGUUUGUACAAUACAAUAUUAUGCUUUGGAAUUGAUACAACGAUUUUGCGAUGAUUUAGUGCAUUUAUAGGAAAGAUACUUCACUGUACAACAUCGGCGGAACCUAUGGUUCCUUCGAAAAGUUAGGAGAGAAUGCGUUUACUCUAAUGCGACGGCCGAAGAGAUCAUCUUUGUGUACUGUAACUUUUCGAACUAGUUUAAAUGGUGAUUAUGGCCACUCAAAUAUUUCUCUUUUGCUCCUUUUGUCUCCUCUUUCUUUUUGACUACAUGUGAAGGUGCAAAGUGAUUUUUAUUUGUUGAUUUUAUCCUGUUCCUGUUCAUUUGUUAUGGUAUGAUUCAUUUAUGGAGAUUUAUGGUUUCUUCUGGUUCUUGUAUUGCGAUUUACAGAGAACUCCACAAAAUUUUCGCUAAAUACACUGCAUUUUUUUUUCCUGUUAAAAAUUUUGGUUUCUUAAGUUGAUUGUGAUAUGAGCAAAACUUCACAAUUGUUUAAAUGAAUUUGAAUAAAUCCCUGAAAUUGGCCUACAAUGCUAUGCAGAAUUAGACGGUUUUUCAGUGGUCAAAUUGUUCUUAGCAGCAAAUCAAAUUAGAGCUUCUACAAAAAUGUUGUUUAAAUAGAACUGUUUAGAUAAAGCACCAUUAUCUUUCUAACCGUUUUUCUAAAAAGCUACUUUCCGCGGUAGAAGAUGAAGAUCGAACUGCAGAAACUUUUUUCCUUCGGUGUUAUUUUUCGUUUAAGCCGAACAUGGACAUCUAAUAUUCUAAAUUCUAAUAUUUAAUUCAUGUUAUCCCUUCCAUCAGUUUUCGGUUAACGGAGCUUGACAGAAAACUGAUGGAGCGGUAACAUGAAUGAAAUAUUAGAGUUUAGGAUAUUACAUGUUUAUUUUAGAAGUUUGAAAAGUAAAGUGAAACUCUGCCGAAAGUUAAGAAGGUAAGAGUGCAAUUUACCCAGCAUUAUUUGGUACUUGACGAAGAUCCAUGUAUAGUAUUAGAUUUGAUUCUAUGGACCAUUUCAAAUUGAAGCUCUCAAAAUGUUUUGAGCAAAAACCCAAUUAAUUCAAUUGUUUUAGACUAAUAUACAGUUUUACAAAAACCAUGAAUUUAUGAAGUCCGGCUACUGUACUCUUAUGAGUAUAGACCCUUUUGUAUUCAUAAGUUUUCAACCGUUAGAUCUACUCCUUUGAUCAUUUUCACUCGUUAGAUCAUAUAUACUAUUCAACCAAUCACCCACUGAAUACUAGAGAACUACUAUAAUUCUAACCGGGGACCAUUAUCAUCUUAACUGUACAUCUUUCCAUCCAACAGUCAAAAAUUUAUGAGUACAAAAAAGUCUAUAUUCAUAAGAUUAUAAUAGCCCUACUCGAAUUUAUGUAUGAUUCGCUACUUCAAAUGCUUAAACAUUGAUUUUU